AGGCAGCAGUAGGGAAUCUUGCACAAUGGAGGAAACUCUGAUGCAGCGAUGCCGCGUGAGUGAAGAAGGCCCUUGGGUUGUAAAGCUCUUUCGUCGGGGAAGAAAAUGACUGUACCCGAAUAAGAAGGUCCGGCUAACUUCGUGCCAGCAGCCGCGGUAAUACGAAGGGACCUAGCGUAGUUCGGAAUUACUGGGCUUAAAGAGUUCGUAGGUGGUUAAAAAAGUUGGUGGUGAAAGCCCAGAGCUUAACUCUGGAACGGCCAUCAAAACUUUUUAGCUAGAGUAUGAUAGAGGAAAGCAGAAUUUCUAGUGUAGAGGUGAAAUUCGUAGAUAUUAGAAAGAAUACCAAUUGCGAAGGCAGCUUUCUGGAUCAUUACUGACACUGAGGAACGAAAGCAUGGGUAGCGAAGAGGAUUAGAUACCCUCGUAGUCCAUGCCGUAAACGAUGUGUGUUAGAUGUUGGAAAUUUAUUUUCAGUAUCGCAGCGAAAGCAAUAAACACACCGCCUGGGGAGUACGACCGCAAGGUUAAAACUCAAAUGAAUUGACGGGGACCCGCACAAGUAGUGGAGCAUGUGGUUUAAUUCGAAGAUACGCGCAGAACCUUACCAACACUUGACAUGUUUGUCGCGACUCUAAGAGAUUAGAGUUUUCGGUUCGGCCGGACAAAACACAGGUGCUGCAUGGCUGUCGUCAGCUCGUGUCGUGAGAUGUUGGGUUAAGUCCCGCAACGAGCGCAACCCUCACUUUUAGUUGCCACCAUUUAGUUGGGCACUCUGAAAGAACUGCCAGUGAUAAGCUGGAGGAAGGUGGGGAUGACGUCAAGUCCUCAUGGCCCUUACGUGUUGGGCUACACACGUGCUACAAUGGCAUUUUACAUAGGAAGCAAGACGGCGACGUCAAGCAAAUCC
rnacentral:rRNA from 1 species